UACGUAGGUGGCGAGCGUUGUCCGGAUUUACUGGGCGUAAAGAGCCCGCAGGCGGUCCGUUAAGUUUCAGGUGAAAUCUCCUGGCUCAACUGGGAGGGUGCCUGGAAAACUGGCGGACUUGAGGCAGGGAGAGGGAUGUGGAAUUCCCGGUGUAGUGGUGAAAUGCGUAGAUAUCGGGAGGAACACCAGUGGCGAAGGCGACUUCCUGGCCUGUUCUUGACGCUGAGGCGCGAAAGCUAGGGGAGCAAACGGG
rnacentral:rRNA from 1 species